ACUUCAUUAUCGAUUCCCAUUUCCGCCCAAUGCUUCCUUCCGACACCAAAUCCCCUUCACGCUCCUAACCUCUUCGCACAGAAUCUCUCCUGGGAUGUAUAACCUCUGGGUUAAUCUCCUUACUAGAGGAGUGGUUUUAGUCGGUAGGCGCUUGGACGAAUCCGACACUACCCCCAUUCAGGGGGUCUUUUGAAGAUUUCCUCUCCUCUAGGAAA
rfam:Agrilus planipennis Contig33315, whole genome shotgun sequence.